AUUGAACGCUGGCGGCAGGCCUAACACAUGCAAGUCGAGCGAGCGGCGGACGGGUGAGUAAUGUCUGGGAAACUGCCUGAUGGAGGGGGAUAACUACUGGAAACGGUAGCUAAUACCGCAUACCAUCAGAUGUGCCCAGAUGGGAUUAGCUAGUAGGUGGGGUAACGGCUCACCUAGGAGACGAUCCCUAGCUGGCCUGAGAGGCUGACCAGCCACAAUGGAACGUAGACAGGGUCCAGACUCCUACGGGAGGCAGCAGUGGGGAAGAUUGCACAAUGGGCGCAAGCCUGAAGCAGCCAGGCCGCGUGUGUGAAGAAGGCCUUCGGUUUGUAAAGCACUUUCAGCGGGGAGGCGUUACCCGCAGAAGAAGCACCGGCUAACUCCGUGCCAGCAGCCGCGGUAAUAC
rnacentral:rRNA from 1 species